rnacentral:lncRNA from 1 species
CCUUCAAUGGUGGAGUUCCAUCCACAGUGAGUUAAAAAUCCAGCAAUGGCGGGAUGUGACAAUAUCAACACUUGUGGAGCCCAACCCUUUAUUAGAAGUCCUCGUCCUUUGAUCCUCUCUUCAAACCCAUCUUCUAUAAUCCAUUUUUCCAGUUCGUUUAAUCUCUUCCAGUUUCUUAUUACCCAGAUGAAUGGCCUGUUUGAUGCCUCUAAGGCUAAUCCCAGUUCAAUCAUUUGCGCAGGUGGGGCAUUGCUGAUGCUUCCGAGACAAGCGUAGAUUACAGAGCUUGGUUCCUGACAAUCAAGCCAGUUAAGAAAUUGAUGUUCAUCCAUGGCGGCUUUCUUACCUCUCUGAAUCUUAUCCAACCCAGUCUUGUUGCAGAGCCAAAGAGGUCCAAUACACCACGCUUUGCGGCCUCCUCCCACCUUUCUGUAUUCUCUGAUGUAUUCUGCUUCCAUUUCUUCAAAAGUAUUAAUCACCACCCCGUAGGAAUCUUUAUCUGCAUCGCCCAUUUUCUUGUGCAUCUCUUUCCAGGUGUCUUUACUGAGUACUGGCAGCUGGGCUUUCGUGAAUUCAACUUUAUCAGGCAAGUUUGGCAAAACAAAGUACUCUGAAUCCGACGUUACCGUGUCAAGAAUCUUGGACGAAUAUAAACGUUCCAAACACAAAAGACUGAAACAGCU